AUUGAACGCUGGCGGCAUGCCUUACACAUGCAAGUCGAGCGGCAGCGCGGGGGCAACCCUGGCGGCGAGCGGCGAACGGGUGAGUAAUACAUCGGAACGUGUCCAGUAGCGGGGAUAACCUGUCGAAAGAUAGGCUAAUACCGCAUACGACCUACGGGUGAAAGCGGGGACCGCAAGGCCUCGCACUAUUGGAGCGGCCGAUGUCGGAUUAGCUAGUUGGCGGGGUAAGAGCCACCAAGGCGACGAUCCGUAGCUGGUCUGAGAGGACGAUCAGCCACACUGGAACUGAGACACGGUCCAGACUCCUACGGGAGGCAGCAGU
rnacentral:rRNA from 1 species